rnacentral:rRNA from 1 species
GACGAACGCUGGCGGUGUGCUUAACACACGCAAGUCGAACGGAAAGUCCCUGCUUUUGUGGGGUGCUCGAGUGGCGAACGGGUGAGUAACACGUGAGUAACCUGCCCUUGAUUUUGGGAUAACUUCAGGAAACUGGGGCUAAUACCGGAUAGGCGUUCCUGCUGCAUGGUGGGGGUUGGAAAGUUUCGGCGGUUGGGGAUGGACUCGCGGCUUAUCAGCUUGUUGGUGGGGUAGUGGCUUACCAAGGCUUUGACGGGUAGCCGGCCUGAUAGGGUGACCGGCCACAUUGGGACUGAGAUGCGGCCCAGACUACUACGGGAGGCAGCAGUGGGGAAUAUUGCACAAUGGGCGGAAGCCUGAUGCAGCAACGCCGCGUGCGGGAUGACGGCCUUCGGGUUGUAAACCGCUUUCGCCUGUGACGAAGCGUGAGUGACGGUAAUGGGUAAAGAAGCACCGGCUAACUACGUG